rnacentral:hammerhead_ribozyme from 1 species
CUCUUGCUGAAGAGUUGCAUUAACAACGAAACAGCUGUCCAUGAG